rnacentral:misc_RNA from 1 species
GUUUUGAAACCGGGUGAUUUUAAUUUUGCUAUUUAACUUAUUUGUUGUUAUUAACGUUUUAUAUUUAUUUUUUGCAUCUAAUCAUCAUUUAUUAUUAUUUUUUUUUUUUUUGGGUUUCUCUCUUUCUCUCUUCUUAUCUAUCGGUUUUGUUCUUUUAGUUUUUCUUUGCACGAUUCGCGAAAAUAUUAAAAACUAAAAACAAAAAAAAAAUUAAAAAGAAAGUGGCAAUGGGAGUUUUAAAAAGAUAGAAUAUACUCUUUUUUUAGUAUAUACAGUUUAAUCUGUCUUUUAUACUGUAUAAUAGGAAAAAUAUGAGCGACUAUUCUGUUUCAAAGAAAUAGUUUAUUCUAUACGCAAAUAAACUUAAAGAUUCUAAUUAAAAAUAACUUGAUAUCAAAACUACAAUCAAAACAAACAUAACAUAGUUUAUUUUAUGAUAACUGUUGCUACCAUACACUUUAUAUACUCUGGAGAAGCUAUAGUCAUAUUGAUAAAGUGAAAGAUUAUCUAUCAAUGAAAUGAAAUGUCUAUAAUUCUUAUUAUAUAUAUAUAUUUAUAUUAAUCUCGUUUUUCUUUUCCUCUUUUAACUCUUUAUUCUUACUAUCCGCUUUAUAAGUUGGUAAAUUUUAUUAAUUGAUUUACUGUAUUGAUUGAAAGGAGAAUAUCGAUGAAUUGGCAUAGUUUAUAACUUAUUUAAACUACUUAUGAUCAAAUUUUCAUCGAUAUACGCUAAAUUCUAUCAAAUUAAUACCAAACUGAGGUUAUUAGGUUCUUAUUUUUAUAAUGUUCGAAAAACAUCCGUAACAAUUGCUCCAAAUGCGAAUUGGUGUUUUUUUUUUGUCUUCGAACGUACCAAACUUAUACGACUAAUUGUACUUUGUUAUGUAAUAAUCUUUAAAAAUAGGAUUAUCCACAUGCUUGCCACUUAUUAACCGUUUAGAACCAAUAGCUUUUUGCAUGCCUUAUUUAACAGAAUGGACGGUAUUUUAUGUGUAUAAAAAACAGUAUAUAUAAAGGUUUUGCGUCGUACCAGCAUAUUGACCACUUUAUACACGAAAUUAUACGGUGCCCAAACUAAUGAUGGGGCUGUCCGUGGUCAUCGUCUAGACAUAUUCAAUCGAUUGAACAAGCGUGUCAUUUGAAAAUCUUAUUUACCGAACAGGUUUAACCGAAACUGUCAAAAAAAAAACAAAUUUUGUAUAUUCAUUAGUAUAAUAUAAAAAAAUCAAUCAACAAACCAACCAAUUAGCAAAACAGAAACCUCUUUGCCCACUUUCUUUUUUCUUAAGCUAAUUAGAGGAUUUUGCGAUUCAUCGCUUCAUUAAUCCAUGCGAUUGCCUUAAUCCAAGAUAAACCGCAAAAUAAUCUACCGAUUAAUCUGUUUAUAAUUAAGAAUUAACCAUGCACGGUUUAUGCAGCUAGAAAGAAUAAUACCGCAAAACGCCGACGAUAACCCAGCUAAUAACGACGUACGUCUUCAAAAACAUUUGCUUCUUUUAUAUAUACUUUUUAUUCUUUCUUCUCAAAAUGCACGACCCCUUUCCUCACUCUCUCUUCCCCACCCUCUCCGCUUUAGUUUUUGGUUUGAAAAUUCUAUUUUAUUACUCCUUUUCUUACACUUUCUAAUGCAUUAAUAUUUUAGUAAGAAGAACAAAAUUCUAUAAUCGCCUGUUCUUUCUUUAUUUAUUUAUUUACUCUCUCUCUCUCUAUUUUUUUUUCAUCUUUUCUUCUAACUUAAAUGAAUUUUAUCCAUUUCUGAGAAAUUAAAGAGGAUGUUGAUUGUAUAAAUUUGUUUCUUUUCUCUUUGUAUAUGAUUUAUAUUGUAUAUAUAAAAUGAUAUUUGCAAAUGAUUCCUCUUUAAUCUACUUUCUCUUGUGUAUGUGCACGAAACAUCCGCUUUAUUCUCCCACCCCCCCUCUCCCCUCCUCUCUCGCUCUGUAUCAGCCUGUCUAUGUAUCUCUCUCUCUCUCUCACACACACAUAUACACACACACAGAUAUAUAUAUAUAUAUAUAUAUAUAUAUAUAUAAGUGUGUGUGUGUUUGUUCUCUAGCUAUUCUUCUUUUCUCUUUUUAUUUUAUUUAUAUUUUUUAAAUUUUCUCCUUCUAUUCUAUUCGUGUUCGGGCUUGUUAGAGCAUUGAUGGCAUUUUUGUGGUCAACCAAUGGCCGAUUGUGUUGUUUCGCUAACGUUGCAUGUGGUCUCCGACAUAUAUAUUUAUGUCUGUUUAUAGAAGAUCCUUAUUUGCAUGAUCUAGUUUAAUUUUUCUUACAUUUUUCAAAUUUCAAAGCGAAAGCAUGCUGGGAAUGUCGGACGCUGGUCAACCGCCCUGCUAUUGUUAAAUAUCCAGGGCUGUUGUAUAAUUAGAUUGAGGCGUCCAGGCUUUUUCUACAAUUUACUGUUGUUAUUUUCUUUGAUUUGUAGCCCACUGACUUUUCCUCAGUGCACGAUUUAUUUUUUUUUGAGCUAAGAAACUAUUGCUUGUGCUAUCUUCCUUAACUUUUCGUGUGUGCUGCCAUCUAUCCAACGUUCGUUCAUUGUCUCAUCAUUUUUGUCUUCUUUCCGAUUAAAGGAACAAGAGACAAGUGUGCAAGAUACAACUCUAACCUAUCACUUCUUUGGGUCUAGAGGCAGAGACACGCUCAAGUACGAAGAGUUCUCAAAGUUUAUGGAAAAUCUGCAAACGGAAGUACUGCAAUCCGAGUUUGAAGACUACGCCAGAGGAAAGUCAACCAUUACAGAGGAAAAUUUUGCAAAGAUUCUCCUCCGCUAUACAGUCUUAUCGGAGGAACAACAUGACGAAUAUCUAAAUAGAUUACGUAAACGUAUAACUAGUGGCAAGGGAAUCGACUUUAAGGCAUUCAAAGAUUUCUGUCAAUUUUUGAAUAAUCUGGACGAUUUUGCAAUUGCAAUGAGAAUAUAUACGUAUAGUGAACAGCCGAUUUCCGAGAGUGAGUUUAGAAGAGCAGUUAAAAUAUCGACUGGACACGAAUUGGACUUUCACGUUGUUCAUACAGUGUUUCAACUAUUUGAUGUAGAUGGCGACAAUCAAUUGAGCCAUAAUGAGUUUAUAACUGUUAUGAAAGAUCGCGUCCAUAGAGGGUUUAGAUCACAAAUCUUCCAAAAGAAGAGAUUCUGGGAAAACUUUAAGGGCUGUGUCCGCCGAGAAAUGAAACACUCCUAAAAGGGAAAAAUUUAAUUAUAAACAGUAUAACAUCUUAGAGUGUCUUUUUCUAUUAUCUUUGCAAUGUGUUUUCAAGAUUCUUCUUUAUUCUUCCCUAUCGCUCUCUCUCUCUCUCUCUCUCUCUC